rnacentral:rRNA from 1 species
ACACAUGCAAGUCGAACGGUAACAGGAAUCAGCUUGCUGCUUCGCUGACGAGUGGCGGACGGGUGAGUAAUGUCUGGGAAACUGCCUGAUGGAGGGGGAUAACUACUGGAAACGGUAGCUAAUACCGCAUAACGUCGCAAGACCAAAGAGGGGGACCUUCGGGCCUCUUGCCAUCGGAUGUGCCCAGAUGGGAUUAGCUAGUAGGUGGGGUAACGGCUCACCUAGGCGACGAUCCCUAGCUGGUCUGAGAGGAUGACCAGCCACACUGGAACUGAGACACGGUCCAGACUCCUACGGGAGGCAGCAGUGGGGAAUAUUGCACAAUGGGCGCAAGCCUGAUGCAGCCAUGCCGCGUGUAUGAAGAAGGCCUUCGGGUUGUAAAGUACUUUCAGCGGGGAGGAAGGGAGUAAAGUUAAUACCUUUGCUCAUUGACGUUACCCGCAGAAGAAGCACCGGCUAACUCCGUGCCAGCAGCCGCGGUAAUACGGAGGGUGCAAGCGUUAAUCGGAAUUACUGGGCGUAAAGCGCACGCAGGCGGUUUGUUAAGUCAGAUGUGAAAUCCCCGGGCUCAACCUGGGAACUGCAUCUGAUACUGGCAAGCUUGAGUCUCGUAGAGGGGGGUAGAAUUCCAGGUGUAGCGGUGAAAUGCGUAGAGAUCUGGAGGAAUACCGGUGGCGAAGGCGGCCCCCUGGACGAAGACUGACGCUCAGGUGCGAAAGCGUGGGGGAGCAAACAGGAUUAGAUACCCUGGUAGUCCACGCCGUAAACGAUGUCGACUUGGAGGUUGUGCCCUUGAGGCGUGGCUUCCGGAGCUAACGCGUUAAGUCGACCGCCUGGGGAGUACGGCCGCAAGGUUAAAACUCAAAUGAAUUGACGGGGGCCCGCACAAGCGGUGGAGCAUGUGGUUUAAUUCGAUGCAACGCGAAGAACCUUACCUGGUCUUGACAUCCACAGAACUUUCCAGAGAUGGAUUGGUGCCUUCGGGAACUGUGAGACAGGUGCUGCAUGGCUGUCGUCAGCUCGUGUUGUGAAAUGUUGGGUUAAGUCCCGCAACGAGCGCAACCCUUAUCCUUUGUUGCCAGCGGUCCGGCCGGGAACUCAAAGGAGACUGCCAGUGAUAAACUGGAGGAAGGUGGGGAUGACGUCAAGUCAUCAUGGCCCUUACGACCAGGGCUACACACGUGCUACAAUGGCGCAUACAAAGAGAAGCGACCUCGCGAGAGCAAGCGGACCUCAUAAAGUGCGUCGUAGUCCGGAUUGGAGUCUGCAACUCGACUCCAUGAAGUCGGAAUCGCUAGUAAUCGUGGAUCAGAAUGCCACGGUGAAUACGUUCCCGGGCCUUGUACACACCGCCCGUCACACCAUGGGAGUGGGUUGCAAAAGAAGUAGGUAGCUUAACCUUCGGGAGGGCGCUUA